rnacentral:lncRNA from 1 species
AGCGGCUUGACUGCCAGAGUAAAUCAGGAUGGUCGCCUCCUGUUGGCAAACAGAACCUGCGAACUGCAUAGCCAAACUGGAAGACACCGAAAAGGGAACGGUUGUUGCAGCAGAAACAGCCGAAUCCGAAGGAGACUCGACAGAAGCAUCAUACCAGAACUCCAUCGGCCAGGAAACUCCCAGCACACGAGGCAUUUAACCUUUUCCCGUUGACACAGAAAACAGGUGAUACCCCACAUGGAACUCGUAAAGCUUUUUCAUGCCUGCAAGCAGAGGACGCCAACGCGCUGUAGCCCACAGGAAGGAAGCAAAAAUCCCCCAGAAGUGGUUGAUGGCUAUCUGGUGUAUCGCAUCCGGUGUCUU